rnacentral:rRNA from 1 species
CCUACGGGAGGCAGCAGUGGGGAAUAUUGCACAAUGGGCGCAAGCCUGAUGCAGCAACGCCGCGUGAGGGACGACGGCCUUCGGGUUGUAAACCUCUUUUAGUAGGGAAGAAGCGAAAGUGACGGUACCUGCAGAAAAAGCACCGGCUAACUACGUGCCAGCAGCCGCGGUAAUACGUAGGGUGCAAGCGUUAUCCGGAAUUAUUGGGCGUAAAGAGCUCGUAGGCGGUUUGUCGCGUCUGCUGUGAAAACUGGAGGCUCAACCUCCAGCCUGCAGUGGGUACGGGCAGACUAGAGUGCGGUAGGGGAGAUUGGAAUUCCUGGUGUAGCGGUGGAAUGCGCAGAUAUCAGGAGGAACACCGAUGGCGAAGGCAGAUCUCUGGGCCGUAACUGACGCUGAGGAGCGAAAGCAUGGGGAGCGAACAGGAUUAGAUACCCUGGUAGUCCAUGCCGUAAACGUUGGGAACUAGAUGUAGGGACCAUUCCACGGUUUCUGUGUCGCAGCUAACGCAUUAAGUUCCCCGCCUGGGGAGUACGGCCGCAAGGCUAAAACUCAAGGAAUUGAACGG